GAAACCAAAGAAAUUGCUCAUUUAUUUUGUCCGUGUUUCUUCUGUAGGAUGAUAGAAAAUGUAAAGAAACGCCGACUUCGAAGGAGAAUACACCGUCGAAGAAUGGCUUCGCCGCCUCAUAACAUCGCCGGAUCCGUUAUACAGCAUCUAUGGGGACUUAAAUGCUUCUCAGACGACCAUAUUUCCCAUGGAUCUCAUCGUACUUGCACCGAUCUGGCUGUUUUUGCUCAUUCUAAACAGUUUGAGACAUGGAUGGAUUCUCCUAUCCUCCUGGAGCUGGCAUUACCUCCUCAGGUAACACAGGAAUCCAAUUAAGCACCAGCUCUCCCUUCUCUCCCUUGGCUGUGGCUCUAGGAUUCAUUCUUACCAUGCUUGCUCUUCUCGGGGUGCUGAUUCAAUUAUUUAGAGGGCGUAACUGUUUCAUGAGGUGUGAAGAGAAUUCCACUGAUGCUAACCCUGCCAUCUCCAUGGUUCAAAUAAAUGGCACCAAUUCCAACCCAGGAACUGACUUUGUGGUUCCAAUUAAUGUCACCCCUUCCAACCUGAGCACUCACCUUGUUUCAUUAAGUGCCACAAAUUCCAGUCCAAGCACCAACCUUGUGACUCCACUGAAUGGCUUGAAUAACACCAGCCUCAUGGCUCCAUUAAGUACCACUGUUCCAUUCGUUCCAAUGAAUGCCACUGGUUCUAACCCAAUCUGCAGCUUCUCCGCUCCAGUGAACUCCUCUAACUCGGAUCCAGUUAUUAGAUGCACGACUCUGAUGAAUGCCGUCAACUCCAACUAAAGCAUCAGUUUUGUGCUGUGAGAGUGGGGAAGAGGCUUUGGUGCUCUCAAAUAUGCCCCUGAUAUGCUAAAUAUUCUGUCGAAUCUGUUCUACAGACUUCCCUUUUGAAACGUGUUGGGACUUACUGUUUGAGCUUUGAACAUUUUAAUGCUUGAUCCGGUGCAUUUGGUUCUGGACUCUGCAAUCUGUAAUGCUUGAUUUUGACAAGUUUUGACUAUGCAUUUUGUUGAAGCCUUGUGACGUCAGGUGGUGAACUAUGCGAGCUGGCUGUGUACCUGCGAAUGUAUAGUCUACUUCAAAGUUGAUUAAAGAAAGGUCAGCAAGUAGUGGUUUACUUGUCAACUAGAGAGUAGGGAACGAGUAGUUGUGGGGGACGGCAGAUUUUCUUGUCAAUGUCAUAGUUAAAUAUCAAUACAGUAAAAUGUAAGAUAGGUAUGGGCUAUAACAGGCGCAGCCUGGUAUCAGAUGUGGAUUUAUCUUUGCUUUCUCCCCUCUAUUUAGCUGGCUGGCCAACGCCGAAGAGAAGUGAUUGAUCAGUAAUCAAUUAAUACUGACUACUGUUGUAGUAAUAUGCAUUUUCACAUGUUAAAAAAAUCCAUUCCCGAUAACGUAAAUUGAAGUUGAAAACCUUCUGUAUCUAAAGUUGCUCUGCCUAUAUGUAGAAUUAUAUUAUGAAUCUGCUUCCACUGGAAAAGUUUGCAUUUCGUCUGUAUUGAAGUCUCUUGCUUUGUUCAGAAGUCCAUGUCCUUUCAAGAAAAGAACUAAAUGAAGAGCGCUGGGACGGCGAUCAGCAUCUGGUAUUCGAGGAACAAGUGAGCUUGUAUGCCCGUAUGAACUUCUAAGCGCUACUACCACUCGUAUCAUGUGUACGAACCAACACACAUUGAUCAUAAUGAAUUGCCAUUCAACAUUUUUAA